GAAGACAUAAUUCGAGUUACUACUCAACAGUCACGAUUGUGGUGUUUGUGGGUCUCUGCUUGGUUGGGGCAUGGAUGAUGACAUCGUCAUCUGUGGUUCCUGGUCAAAAUGUAGACGUUCCUGCUCAGGAAAACAAGAAUGAGGUGAAACAACAAGUGACUGAGAGCAAUGAAAUCAACACUAAGCAAUUUGAAGAUAACCCAGGUGAUUUGCCUGAGGAUGCAACAAAAGGUGACAACAGUAUGCCCGAAGAGAAGCCCGAGGAGAAGCCAGAGGAGAAGCCCGAAGAGAAGCCAGAGGAGAAGCCAGAUGCAACAAAAGGUGACGACAGUGUGCCUGAAGAGAAGCCCGAGGAGAAGCCAGAAGAGAAGCCCGAGGAGAAGCCAGUAGAGAAAACCGACGAAAAAUCU
rnacentral:lncRNA from 1 species